UGUUGCCUACGGGAGGCAGCAGUAGGGAAUAUUGCUCAAUGGGGGAAACCCUGAUGCAGCGACGCCGCGUGGGUGAAGAAGCGCCUCGGCGCGUAAAGCCCUGUCAGCAGGGAAGAAAAUGACGGUACCUGAAGAAGAAGCCCUGGCUAACUACGUGCCAGCAGCCGCGGUAAUACGUAGGGGGCAAGCGUUAUCCGGAUUUACUGGGUGUAAAGGGGGCGCAGACGGCGAUGCAAGCCAGGAGUGAAAGCCCGGGGCCCAACCCCGGGCCUGCUCUUGGAACUGCGUGGCUAGAGGGCAGGCGG
rnacentral:rRNA from 1 species